GCCAGACUCCUACGGGAGGCAGCAGUGAGGAAUAUUGGUCAAUGGGAGGAAUCCUGAACCAGCCAUGCCGCGUGCAGGACGACGGCUCUACGAGUUGUAAACUGCUUUUGUACCGGGGUAAAAUGCCUUACGAGUAGGGUUUUGAAAGUACGGUACGAAUAAGGAUCGGCUAACUCCGUGCCAGCAGCCGCGGUAAUACGGAGGAUGCGAGCGUUAUCCGGAUUUAUUGGGUUUAAAGGGUGCGUAGGCGGAACAUUAAGUCAGCGGUAAAAUCGAGGGGCUCAACCCCUGUAAGCCGUUGAAACUGGUGAUCUUGAGUGGGCGAGAAGUAUGCGGAAUGCGUGGUGUAGCGGUGAAAUGCAUAGAUAUCACGCAGAACUCCGAUUGCGAAGGCAGCAUACCGGCGCCCGACUGACGCUGAGGCACGAAAGUGCGGGGAUCGAACAGGAUUAGAUACCCUUGUACA
rnacentral:rRNA from 1 species